rnacentral:rRNA from 1 species
AGAGUUUGAUCCUGGCUCUGGAGUCUGGCUGGCGGCGUGCCUAACACAUGCAAGUCGAGCGGAGGUGUUGGAAGGUGAAAGCCGGAAGACACCUUAGCGGCGGACGGGUGAGUAACACGUAGGCAACCUACCCACCACACGGGGAUAGCCCUGGGAAACCGGGGGUAAUACCCGAUGACUUUAUUAAGCGGGUGCUUAAUAAAGAAAGGCAGGAAUGCGGUGGUGGAUGGGCCUGCGGCCCAUCAGCUAGUUGGCGGGAUAACAGCCCACCAAGGCGACGACGGGUAGCCGGCCUGAGAGGGUGGUCGGCCACACUGGGACUGGGACACGGCCCAGACUCCUACGGGAGGCAGCAGUGGGGAAUAUUGGGCAAUGGGGGGAACCCUGACCCAGCGACGCCGCGUGGAGGAAGAAGGCCUUCGGGUUGUAAACUCCUGUCACCUGGGAAGAAGAGGACGGUACCAGGGGAGGAAGCCCCGGCUAACUACGUGCCAGCAGCCGCGGUAAUACGUAGGGGGCGAGCGUUGUCCGGAAUUACUG